AUUGAACGCUGGCGGCAGGCCUAACACAUGCAAGUCGAACGGUAACAGGCAGACGCUUGCUUCUUUGCUGACGAGUGGCGGACGGGUGAGUAAUGUCUGGGAAACUGUCUGAUGGAGGGGGAUAACUACUGGAAACGGUAGCUAAUACCGCAUAACGUCACAAGACCAAAGAGGGGGACCUUCGGGCCUCUUGUCAGCGGAUGUGCCCAGAUGGGAUUAGCUAGUAGGUGGGGUAACGGCUCACCUAGGCGACGAUGCGUAGCUGGUCUGAGAGGAUGACCAGCCACACUGGAACUGAGACACGGACCAGACUCCUACGGGAGGCAGCAGUGGGGAAUAUUGGACAAUGGGCGCAAGCCUGAUACAGCCAUGCCGAGUGUAUGAAGAAGGCCUUCGGGUUGUAAAGUACUUUCAGCGGGGAGGAAGGGAGUAAAGUUAAUACCUUAGCUCAUUGACGUUACCCGCGGAAGAAGCACCGGCUAACUCCGUG
rnacentral:rRNA from 1 species